rnacentral:rRNA from 1 species
ACGUCUACGAGAGUUAGUAGUACUAUGGCUCAGAACGAACGCUGGUGGCGUGUUUAUACAUGCAAGUCGAGCGAGGACGGUAGCAAUACCGAGCCGAGCGGCGAACGGGUGAGUAACGCGUAAGCAAUCUGCCCCACAAUCGGGAACAACCGUGCCAACGCGCGGCUAAUGCCGGAUAUUGUAGUCUACUGCAUAGUAGGCCAACGAAAGAUUUAUUGUUGUGGGAUGAGCUUGCGUCCGAUUAGCUAGUUGGCGGGGUAAUAGCCCACCAAGGCGACGAUCGGUAGCCGGCCUGAGAGGGUGAUCGGCCACAUUGGGACUGAGAUACGGCCCAGACUCCUACGGGAGGCAGCAGUAGGGAAUAUUGCGCAAUGGGGGGAACCCUGACGCAGCAACGCCCACGUGUGGGAAGAAGCAUUUCGGUGUGUAAACCACUGUCGGAAAGGAAUAACGGAAGACUUCGGUCUUUAUGAAUGUACUUUUAGAGGAAGCACCGGCAAACUUCGUGCCAGCAGCGGC